CGGGCGAAGGGGGAGUAGCGUUGGCGAGGUGGCUACGGCGGCUAGGCGAUGAAGUGCAAGAGUCACCCGAACGAGUACGGAGUUGGCGUCUGCGCCUCCUGCCUCCGGGAGCGACUCCUCGCCCUCAUCGUCGCCCAGAACGAGCUCUCCGCUAACCGCUACCACGUACGCCGGAGGCCUGACCUUUCCCCGCUGCGGCAUCCCCACGAAUUCCACCGACCCGUCUCCCCUUACAUCUCCCACCGCCGAUCGGUCGGAUCCGAUUCCUCGCCAGGCCACCUCCGCCUCCUCCACCACUACCAGCGGUUCUUCAGCACCCCCCAGAUCGGCCC
rnacentral:lncRNA from 1 species